rnacentral:lncRNA from 1 species
UAUUUAUAAGGGUCCAUUUAAAACAAUUCAAUGCUCUUAAGUUCAUUAUCCAUUCUUCGGUAUAUUCAUAGCAAAUUUUAUAAAAAUUUUUAACUUCUUUUAAUUUUUUUUUUUUUUUUCCGGGAUCGGAAUCUUCCAAAGCGGUCAGUUUAUAGGCUUUAAUAUAGACUUUAAUAUUGUAUAUAGUAGUGUAUGUAUAUAUUUUUUUAUUUAAAUUUGCCUUUAAUUUGUUUUUUUAUAUUUUUCUGCAAAAAAAUUUUUCUGUCACUUUAUCCUUCUCAACUUAUGUGAUUAAGUUUUUAUUUUCUCUUACAUAUUUUCUUACUCAUCUUAUCUCAUCCGUUCAUUUUCUCUUUUUUUUACAUUUUUCUUAGCAUUAAUCUUUUAUAUUUUUGUGUUAAUUUACUUUUUAAAUAGUAUUGUUCCUUAUACUUCUUUUUUUAAUACUUGUAUUAAUGUAGUUUUCAUUCUUCUUAUUUUUUAUUUUAUUUUUUUAUUUUAUGAAGGUGUUGCUCCACUGACUUGUUUUUAGUAUGAGUGACACCGAACAUAAAUUUGUAAAUUAUAAUUAAGUUUGUAAUUUUUGAUUUUAUGGUUAAUUAACCAUAAGCGCAUGCGUAGUAUGUACAGUAAGGUUUUUGUUAUCCUUUUAUUUAAUUAAAUAAAUGGAUAAAAAACUUUGCUGUACAUACUACGCAUGUGUCAAGACUGUCAAGCAUGGCGUACAUACUGCACAUCAAAGAUCAGCCUGGGGAUUACAUACACAAAUGUUGGAUCCAUCUCUUUUCACAAAUGUAAUUUUGACGUUGUUAGAAAAAGAGGUCUGUAGUAUCUAUCUAUCUCUCCAGGUAUAUAAUAGGGCCUUUCAAUUGUGUUGAAAAUGGCAGCCAUAUGUGCGUUCAAAAUUUAAAUCACUGUCAAACUUGUAGCUGGUGUUUGCCCUGUCCUCUGACGUGCUGGAAACGGCAAGCAAUAUGUGCGCAUGAAAUUCAAAUCACUGUCAAAAUAAUUUUAAAUAUUUAAUUAAUAAAAUUGAAAUGAAAUAAUAUUAAAAAAAUGUUUUAGAAAUACAAAUGAGUACUUUCAGAGUACAGGAUUUGAAAAAAGUACGGUUUGUGAAAAAGGAGUAAAAAAACUCAGAAUGAGAAUAGCAGGUCACCUUAAUUGUCUACAUAAUUUUUUGGUAGGUUUCAAAGUUCUUGCAAAAGAUGGUUUUAUCUAUGAAAAUAUUGAGUUUAAAAUCAAUCUUGCUGUUAUCAUAUGUGAUGCACCAGCUAGAGCAUUUUUAAAGUGUAUUAAAGGACACAAUGGUUAUAACUGACGUGAAUGUAGAAAGGAGAGUGGUGUGGCAAGAUAAUUCUCCUACAUAUUUCACUAAUUUUAAGCACUGAUUCAGAUUUUUUAACAUUAAAAGCAUUCUGAACAUCUUAGUGGUGUGUUAAAUUGAAUUAAAUUUUGACAUGGUGACAAAGUUUCCUUUAGACUUAAUGCAUCUAGUAUGCUUAGGGGUAAUGCGAAGAUUUCUCAACUUAUGGUUAAAUUGUCCAAAUGUUUUAAAUUGUCUCAAAUUACAGUCAAUACUUUAUCUGGCGGAUUGUUCCAGAUACGACAUUACAUUCCAAGAAAUUUUUCUAGAAAAUCAAGGUCUUAAAAAAUAAGAUAUUAAAAAAUAGAAAACAAAUGAGCUUAGACUAUUUAUAGUAUACACUGGACCAGUUGUUUAAAGGGAAUGGUUUAGCCAAAAAUCUAUUCAAUUUUUUAGAUUUUUCAGUUGUAGUUCUACUUUCAUAAUGUUUCAUUUUGUUGAAAAAAUAUGUUAAGUUUGCUUUUCAGCUACUUAUUUUUAUAUGUGAACUUUAUCAUAAGGAUCAACUAGUGUACAAUGUCCAUUCAUUAGCACAUAUAGGAAAUAAUACAAUUAAAUUUUAGGUACUUGAUAGAUGUCCCUCUUUCAAAUACUUUUCAGGUCAAUUAAAAAAUGUUUGUCUAGGGGGCUCAUUUGCAAAUUUAGGGGCCCUUUUACAAAUGUAAGGAUUUUUUUUUUUUUUCAGGAUUUUUAUUUAGAUUUUGCUUAUCUAUUUGAAAAGUUUUUAGGAAUUUUGGGGCCCUUAUGACAGGUUUUUUUUUUGGAAUGGGGGACUUGUAUCUAGCAGCCACGGCACUGUAUAUAAGGUAACUGUAUACAAUAUAUAUCAAAUUAUAUACAAUAUAAAUAAAAAAAUAUAUUUAUUUAAUAAUUUUAUUUAAUUUAUUUAUCAGUAACUAAAGAAUGUUAUCAAUUUAUUAUAUGAAUCAUAAGCAUGUGCUCAUCUAUUACAAGUACCUUUGAUGGUGAAGAUUACAUUUUUUAUCUGAAGAGAGUUGGGAGAAAUGUUCAUAUUGAAACGAGAUAUUGUGUAAAGAGGUUUUCAAAGAAGUCGUUUUAACAACAAUGGAAAAGCUUCCGAUUUCCGAGAUAAACGUGAAAGCGUUUGAUACAUGAUUAAAGAAUCGUUUAAAAGUUUGCUUAAUUUUGACAGUGUAAUUUUAGUUACUAUUUUUUUUGAAAUAAACCAAUCAAUUUA